CACGUGUGCAACCAACCCCGUACCGGGAGAUAACCCGCGGAAACGUGGACUAACACCCCAUAACACCUUUCCCCCGCAUGGGGGGGAGUUUAAAACCCCGGUGGUACGGGACGGGCACGCGCGACAUUAGGUAGUUGGCGGGGUAACGGCCCACCAAGCCGACGAUGUCUAGGGGUUCUGAGAGGAAGGUCCCCCACACUGGAACUGAGACACGGUCCAGACUCCUACGGGAGGCAGCAGUGAGGAAUAUUGGUCAAUGGGCGAGAGCCUGAACCAGCCAAGUCGCGUGAGGGAAGAAUGGUCUAUGGCCUGUAAACCUCUUUUGUCAAGGAAGAAUAAGCGGCACGAGUGCCACCUUGCCAGUACUUGACGAAUAAGCAUCGGCUAACUCCGUGCCAGCAGCCGCGGUAAUACGGGGGAUGCGAGCGUUAUCCGGAUUUAUUGGGUUUAAAGGGCGCGUAGGCGGGACGGCAAGUCAGCGGUAAAAGACUGCAGCUAAACUGUAGCACGCCGUUGAAACUGUCGACCUGGAGACGAGACGAGGGAGGCGGAACAAGUGAAGUAGCGGUGAAAUGCAUAGAUAUCACUUGGAACCCCGGUAGCGAAGGCAGCUUCCCAGGCUCGAUCUGACGCUGAUGCGCGAGAGCGUGGGUAGCGAACAGGAUUAGGUACCCUGGUAGUCCACGCCGUAAACGAUGCUCACUGGAUCUUGGCGAUACACGGCCAGGGUUCAAGCGAAAGUAUUAAGUGGGCCACCUGGGGAGUACGUCGGCAACGAUGAAACUCAAAGGAAUUGACGGGGGCCCGCACAAGCGGAGGAACAUGUGGUUUAAUUCGAUGAUACGCGAGGAACCUUACCCGGGUUUAAAUGCAGGUUGCAUGAGGUGGAAACACCUCUUUCCCUCGGGACUACCUGCAAGGUGCUGCAUGGUUGUCGUCAGCUCGUGCCGUGAGGUGUCGGGUUAAGUCCCAUAACGAGCGCAACCCCUAUCGCCAGUUGCCAUCGGUUCAAGCCGGGCACUCUGUCGAGACUGCCACCGUAAGGUGCGAGGAAGGCGGGGAUGACGUCAAAUCAGCACGGCCCUUACACCCGGGGCGACACACGUGUUACAAUGGCCGGUACAGAGGGCAGCCACGGGGCGACCCGGAGCGAAUCUCUAAAGCCGGUCGUAGUUCGGACUGGAGUCUGCAACCCGACUCCACGAAGUUGGAUUCGCUAGUAAUCGCGCAUCAGC
rnacentral:rRNA from 1 species